rnacentral:tRNA from 1 species
AGUUGUGUGGCUCAGUGGUACAGCGCUCGCCUCGCACGUGUCAGACCCUGGGUUCAAUCCUCAGCACCACAU